rnacentral:rRNA from 1 species
AUGAGAGAAUGGAGGGAGGUUCACGAGAAGCCGGGUCCGGAGCCCAAAGUUGCGGUUCUGCAAAGAUGGACAGCGCCAGAGGAGGGGUGGAUCAAGGCCAAUACCGACGGUGCCGUAUCCAAGGAUGGAGGCAAGGGCGGAGGGGGCGUGGUGUUGCGGGAUCAUAAUGGAGCUAAUAUUGCAGGGGCUUGCCACUUCUUCCCUCAUGUGAUGGAGGCAGAGGCUGCGGAGAUCAAGGCGUGCAAGAGAGCCAUUUUGGUUGCUGCGGAGGUCAAUGUGCAGAGAAUUCAUUUGGAGCUGGACAGCCAGGCCCUAGUGCAGAUGAUAAACACUCCGGAAAGGAUCUUGGCAGCGACAGGCCCUUGGGUGGAGGAGAUCAAGACUAUGCUUCGGUCUUUUGAUGCUUUUAGAGUUUCGUGGGUGAGGCGUUCUGCAAAUGUUGCCGCGCAUAAAUUAGCAAAAAUAUGUGUAGGUGAAGAACUAUGUAAGGUUUGGCUUGGAUCACCACCAGAUUGCAUUCUGGAAGUGAUCGCAGGCAAGAUUCCAGACGUGUUUUAA